UACAGAGGUCUCAAGCGUUGUUCGGAUUCAUUGGGCGUAAAGGGUGUGCAGGUGGCGCGCUAAGUCGGGUGUGAAAUUUCGGAGCUUAACUCCGAAACUGCAUUCGAUACUGCCGUGCUUGAGGACUGGAGAGGAGACUGGAAUUUACGGUGUAGCAGUGAAAUGCGUAGAGAUCAUGAGGAAGACCAGUGGCGAAGGCGGGUCUCUGGGCCGUAACUGACGCUGAGGAGCGAAAGCGUGGGGAGCGAACAGG
rnacentral:rRNA from 1 species